rnacentral:rRNA from 1 species
CACGUAGGGGGCAAGCGUUGUCCGGAUUUAUUGGGCGUAAAGAGCUCGUAGGCGGCUUAGUAAGUCGGGUGUGAAACCUCCAGGCUCAACCUGGAGACGCCACCCGAUACUGCUGUGGCUAGAGUCCGGUAGGGGAGCGUGGAAUUCCUGGUGUAGCGGUGAAAUGCGUAGAUAUCGAGAGGAACACCAGUGGCGAAGGCGAGUCUCUGGACAUUUCCUAACGCUGAGGCACGAAAGCCAGGGGAGCAAACGGG